rnacentral:lncRNA from 1 species
AAAAUCAGUUUUUCAAGCUUGGUGCAGCAGUGAUCAACUCCUCGAUCGAAGGUCCAUCUGUGGUUCGAUUGAGCUGAUUUUUAGACAGCAGCUAGGUGAUAAGGUGUUCUUGACUUUGUACGGUCGGAUUUUUCAUCCGAGACUUGUAGCGUCGGAAAUACCCUUUUUUCAGCAGCUACGUUUUUGGUGAUAUUCUCUCAUUUUUCUCUCUUUUGCUAAAGAUUACAUAUUGUUAGCCUUGUCGGAGUUGAAUGCUUGUUGUAGGCUUGAUAUUGUGAUCUUGUAGUCGAACAUUUGAUGAUAGUAGAGCUCUUUAUCGGACUCUAAAGUCCCGUGGUUUUUACCCUUGAUUUAGAGGGGUUUUCCACGUAAAAAUACCGGUGUCUCUAUUUAUUUUUGUUGUGGUUGCAUUAGUUGAUUUGUGGUUGAUUAAGGUUGCUAGAGAACAUAUCUUGUGCUAUUGUGCUUGCCAUAAUUUUUGACAGGAGUUAUAAGGAGAGAAAGAACACCGGUUGUGCUUUCGCUUUGUUUCGGUUGUUCGGUUUCUUCCCAACAAACUGGUACCAGAGCUUGGUUAUUGUGUCAGGUAAUUAUGGAAAUUAAUACGAGCAAGAUGAUUAUGUUGAAUGGCACAAAUUAUCAACUUUGGCGGAAUAAAAUGAAGGACUUGUUGUUUGUGAAGGCUUUGCAUCUUCCGGUCUUUACUACUCAAAAACCCGAUUCGAAAAGUGAUGAAGAAUGGGAAUUUGAGCAUCAACAAGUGUGUGGCUUUAUUCGGCAAUUUGUUGAAGAAAAUGUUUACAACCACAUUGAUCAAGAGACACAUGCUCGAACAUUGUGGGAGAAGCUUGAAAGCUUGUAUGCUUCGAGGUCGGGCAAUAACAAGUUGUUUUUGCUGAAGAAAAUGAUGGCGCUGAAAUAUAAAGAAGGAAUGUCUAUAGCUGACCAUGUUAGUGAAUUUCAGAGUGUGAUGAAUCAGUUGCUUGGUAUGGGUGUCAAAUUUGAUGACGAGAUUUUAGGACUUUGGUUGCUUGCUACUCUACCAGACUCUUAGGAGACCUUUCGAGUCUCACUCAUUAAUUCUGCCCCACAGGGUAUUAUUACUUUGGAUUUGGCUAAGAGUGGUGUGUUGAAUGAAGAGGUUAGAAGAAGAUCUCUGGGUUCUACAUCACAGUCCGAGGUGUUGGUUAUCGAGAAUAGGGGAGAAACAGAGACAAAGAUGGAAAGGGUAGAGAUAAAAGCCGAAGCAAGUCAAGAUCGAGAUACAAGAAUCUUGAAUGUCAUCAUUAUGGUAAGAAAGGUCAUAUCAAGAAAUAUUGCUUCAAGUGGAAGAAAGAGAACAAAGGUGGUGGUGAUAAACACGAUCGGAAUGACGAUGAAAAAUCCGAGCGUGUUGCUACUGUUACUCGUGAAGAUCUGUUAGUUAUUUGUGAUGAGAAUUUGGUCAACCUAGCAUGCGACGAAACUAGUUGGGUGAUUGAUACUGGUGCAUCACUUCAUGUCACGUCGAGGAAGGAAUUCUUCACAUCUUAUACUCCUGGUGAUUUUGGGGUAUUGAAGAUGGGUAAUGAUGGUUUGGUUUCGGUUAUUGGUAUGGGAGAUGUUAGCUUGGUGAGUAACAAUGGAACAAAGUUAACUCUCAAGGAUGUCAGACAUGCACCGGAUGUCCGUUUGAAUUUGAUUUCUGCAGGAAAGCUUGAUGAUGAGGGAUUCUGUAACACCUUCAGUGAAGGGCAGUGGAAGCUGACUAAAGGCUCCUUGGUUGUGGCUCGAGGAAAGAAGAGCUCAAAUUUGUACUUGAUGCAAGCUUUGAAUUCUCGAGAGACGGUGAAUGUGACACUGAAUGACAACUCAACUGAGUUGUGGCAUAAACGACUCAGUCACAUGAGUGAGAAGGGGCUUAGCUGUUUAGCGAAGAAGAAUCAACUUUCAGGUUUAAAGAAUGCUACACUGAAGAAUUGUGCUCAUUGUCUAGCAGGAAAGCAGAAAAGAGUUUCAUUUAGAAGCCAUCUUCCUCAUAGGAAAUCAGAGUUGCUAGAGUUGGUCCAUUCAGAUGUUUGUGGUCCGAUAAAAGUAAGAUCACAUGGUGGUGCACUUUACUUUGUGACUUUCAUUGAUGAUUGUUCAAGAAAGCUAUGGGUUUACACUUUGAAGUCUAAAAAUCAAGUUUUUGAGGUGUUUAAACAGUUUCAAGCAUCAGUUGAAAGGGAAACUGGGAAGAAGUUGAAGUGCAUUCGUACUGAUAAUGGUGGCGAGUACACAGGGUCGUUUCAUGAGUAUUGUCUGCGACAGGGAAUCAGACAUCAGAGAACACCACCAAAGACUCCACAGUUAAAUGGGUUAGCUGAAAGAAUGAACCGAACAUUGAUUGAGAGAGUCAGAUGUUUGUUGUCAGAUGCAAAGUUACCAAGAUCGUUUUGGGCUGAAGCUUUGAAUAUAGUGACACAUGUGAUAAAUCUGUCUCCUAGUGUUCCUUUGAAAGGUGAUGUGCCAGAUAGAGUUUGGUUUGGUAAAGACGUGUCAUAUGAUCACCUACGUGUGUUCGGUUGUAAAGCAUUUGUUCAUGUUCCAAAGGAUGAAAGAUCCAAGUUGGAUGCCAAGGCUCGACAAUGCAUUUUUAUUGGUUAUGGUCUAGAUGGUGAGUUUGGUUAUAGACUCUAUGAUCCAGUUCAGAAGAAACUCGUGAGAAGCAGAGAUGUUGUCUUCAUUGAGGAUCAGACCAUUGAUGACAUUGAUAAGACGGAGAAAGUGGAUUCACAAGGUAGUGGUGACUUGAUCGAUGUGAAUCCGGUUCCCCUAGACUCUUCACCAGAUCCUAUCCAGGAUGAUGUGCAUGGUGAUGUUAGUGGUAACCAUCAGACUAUAGGUGACUUUGAUACUCCCAUGGAUGAUGUUGUGAAUGAUCAACAACAAGCACCUAUAGCUCCACCAGCAGUUCCACUUCGAAGGUCUUCCAGAGAUCGACGAUCUUCUGUCAGGUAUAAUCCUGAUGAAUAUGUUCUUUUGACUGACGGGGGAGAACCUGAAUGUUAUGAAGAGGCUAUGGAGAGUGAAUGCAAAGAUCAGUGGGUUGAAGCGAUGAAAGACGAACUUCAAUCCUUGCAUGAGAACCAUACUUUUGAAUUGGUGAAACUGCCUAAGGGCAAAAGAGCUUUGAAUAAUCGGUGGGUUUACAGGUUGAAGCAAGAAGAGAAGUCUUCAUCUCCACGAUACAAAGCUAGAUUUGUCGUCAAGGGUUAUACUCAGAAAAAAGGGGUUGAUUUUGAAGAAAUAUUUUCUCCAGUUGUGAAGAUGUCCUCUAUCAGAACUAUACUGAGUUUGGUAGCUUGUUAUGACCUAGAGGUUGAACAAAUGGAUGUGAAAACUGCUUUUCUUCAUGGUGACUUGGAAGAAGAGCUUUACAUGGAGCAGCCAGAGGGUUUUGUUGCACAAGGGAAAGAGGACUAUGUGUGCAGAUUGAAGAAGAGCUUGUAUGGUUUGAAGCAAGCUCCAAGGCAAUGGUACAAGAAGUUUGAGUCUGUUAUGGGGGAGCAAGGCUACAAGAAGACUACUUCUGAUCAUUGCGUGUUUGUUAAGAGAUUCUCUGGUGAUGAUUUUAUUAUUCUUUUGCUCUAUGUUGAUGAUAUGCUUAUUGUUGGUCAGAAUGCUUCUAGAAUUGAGAAGUUGAAACAAGAGUUGAGUAAAUCCUUUGCAAUGAAGGAUUUGGGGCCAGCAAAGCAAAUUCUUGGCAUAAGACUGACACGUGAUAGAAAGGCCAAGAAAUUAUGGUUAUCACAAGAGAGGUACAUUGAGAAAGUACUUCAAAGGUUUAGUAUGGACAAAGCUAAAGCGGUGAAUACUCCAUUUGCUAUGCACUUUAGAUUGAGUGUUAAGCAUAGUCCUUCCACAGAAAAGGAGAAGGAAGAGAUGCAGAAAAUUCCUUACUCUUCAGCCGUGGGUAGUUUGAUGUACGCAAUGGUUUGCACGAGACCAGACUUGGCUUAUGCCGUUGGUACAGUUAGUCGGUUUCUUUCUAAUCCAGGCAGAGAGCAUUGGAAUGCAGUGAAGUGGAUUAUGAGAUAUCUUCGUGGCACUUCCAACAUGAAACUUUGUUUCGGCAAUGAGAAACCUGUUCUUGUUGGGUAUACAGAUUCAGACAUGGCCGGAGACAUUGACUCGAGGAGAUCUACUUCAGGUUACUUAAUCACUUAUGCAGGGGGAGCUGUGGCAUGGCAAUCGAGACUGCAAAAGUGUGUUGCAUUGUCCACCACCGAAUCAGAGUUCAUUGCAGCAACCGAAGCGUGUAAGGAGAUGCUUUGGAUGAAGAAGUUUGUGCAUGAGCUUGGUUUUACUCAGGAGAAGUAUGUCCUAUACUGUGAUAGCCAGAGUGCUAUUCAUCUUGGUAAGAACUCAACUUUUCAUGCUAGAUCUAAGCAUAUUGAUGUGAGGUACCAUUGGAUACGAGAUGUUCUUGAAGCUAAGCUGUUAGAGCUUGAGAAGAUACACACUAAUGAUAAUGGUGCUGAUAUGUUGACGAAGGCCUUACCAAGAGGAAAGUUUGAAGCAUGUUGUUUGACCUCCGGCAUGGAGGCAUUCCCCACAUAGUUGGAGGGGGAGAUUUGUUGGGUAUGGGUCCCACUAUGUGGGAAACCCAUAUUUUCUGCCAUAAUGUUUUGUCUUUCUAUUAUUAUUGAGUGUCAAAUUCUCAAUUUAAAAAAAAAACAGAGAGUGAGAUUGAAGCUCGUUGGAGAAAAAGAGAGAAUAAAAAAAAUCAGUUUUUCAAGCUUGGUGCAGCAGUGAUCAACUCCUCGAUCGAAGGUCCAUCUGUGGUUCGAUUGAGCUGAUUUUUAGACAGCAGUUAGGUGAUAAGGUGUUCUUGACUUUGUACGGUCGGAUUUUUCAUCCGAGACUUGUAGCGUCGGAAAUACCCUUUUUUCAGCAGCUACGUUUUUGGUGAUAUUCUCUCAUUUUUCUCUCUUUUGCUAA